UUGCACAUGUUAUAAUUUUAGCAUGCAUUCUGUGAUAGUUAGUAUGUAUGAUGUUUUAGUAAUUUAGAUGAUAAUUGCAAUAAAUUUUAGUAUAUUUUAAAGCAUACUAAAGAAAAAACCUGGUUCCCUUCCCAAAUUUUGCAUACACAGCCUUAUCCAGGAGACCUGGACAAGCAGCUGACAGCAGGAAUUCUCCCAAUCUUACAGGCAGGGGCAGAAAACUGUCAAUAUUCAUUGCAACAAAAUAUGAGGUUCUGGGCCCUAUGUCUUGGCUCCAUUCCCUGUGUUCUCUUGAUGUCCUCGCCCCUUGUUUUCUGGGCUGUUGCUGAGAGAAUUUUUAUAAAACAAGAUGCAGGGUAUGAAAUUUGUCCUUGUAAAAGCCCUUAAGAAAUUGCUCUGAAGCUAAAGAGUCAGAACAAGAUGAGGCGUUUAGCAGAAUGGUUAUCAAAAUUAAAUGUGAAAAGGUUGGAAAAGAGAAUGAACAUUACGAGUCAGUAGUGAAGCCAAAUUCUAGUUAUGAGCCACUUUCUAUGGAAAGCAGGUUAUUCCAUACCUACCUGCCAUGGAUUUCUUGCAUUUGUGCAAAGGUCAGGUAGCAAUCAGUCAGAGGUUGAUUUGUGAACUAGAGGGACAACAUGAACAACGUCAGAACCAAUGUUUCUGGAUUCUCUCACACCCUUAGCCAUUUGUUUGGAAGAUGUUAGAGUGGUAUCUACUCUAACAUCUUCCAAACAAGCAAACAGUCCUCUUCAUAAAGGAGAAUGCUUGCUGCCACUGAACCUCACUUGUGAAAUCCAGGGAUUUACCUUGCUUUUAAGCUGCUUAUAUUUAACUUGAAUUUUCCAGUGCCUUUGUAACCCAUGGAGGAAUGUAGUGCUGAAACACUUUGACCCAUGUUCUCUCAGACAGAGCAGUACCACUGUUAAGAGUGGCUGAAUUGUUAUUUGCUCUGAUCUUUUUAAAUAAAACAAAGGACAGAUCAGUCUUGCAUCCAUUCAUUACCAACACAGUAGGCCACUAUUGUACUCUUGUUUUUCUCUUUUGCUCUCUGUCCUAGAAUUAUGGUCUUUACAUAUAGGGGAUGAAUAAAUGUAUAGAAUUUGCAUUUAGUCUUGAAAAGCUCUACAACAACUGAAAAUAUAUUUAUUGAUUUAUUGACCUGUCUUCCUUAGGGAUAUAUUCCUGCUAUACAGGAAUUCUUUUGAAGAUGAUUUUUCUUCUGAAAGAAAUAACAGAUGGGAAGGGAAUAAAUUGCCUUUGUGGGGAUUUGUGUAUUCUGUAGAUAUUUGUAUUUGAUAAACAAACAGAGGAUUUUAAGUGCAACACCAAACUUUUAGGUGCCUGGAGGCAAAGAGGCUCAGUGGAGCUAUGACACUUCUAUCACUCAGUGUAAUGUUCCAUAACCAGUCAGUUUAUAGUCUAGUUUUAGUUUAUAGUCUAGUUUUAACAGCAAAAUGAACUGCAAGUUUUUAUUUCUAUUUUUAUUUGUUUAUUUGCCUUAUUCCAGUCAUUUAUAUGUCUGCACAACUACAAGAAGUAAAGAUCUUAUGUUUAAAAAACUUUUCCCCCAACAAUGCUCUUCAAUAUCUAAGGACUGCUUGCUCAUAGGAAGGACAGAGUCUGUCCUGCCUGGUUUCUUUACAACUGUGUAAUCCAAGAAGCUAUUGAUUUUAUUUUAUUACUCGGCUUCAGUACUGCCUCACCUCAGUGAUCUCUGCCAGGCAUCAGUCUCUUGCAUUUCAGCUCUGUGCUGCCUCACCUCUUACUCCCUGCAGCCUACGUGAUCUGGAGCAGCAACACAAAUUUUUACAGUUUUGACCCUGAGUCACGCUUGUAUAUUUUCUAUCAGUCUCCUUAGUCUGGCUCAUCUGCAGUUUUCCUUCUGGGCUUUACUGCCUGAACUUCAGGUUUCCAUGGACUAUAAAGAGAGAGUAGAGCAACCAGCUCAUAUUUGCACACCUAGCUUUGCAGAUAUCCAUGGUAGCAUCUGAGUGCAGGUGUGGGUGCAGAGGUGUCUGGCCUCCCAGUAUUGGUGGGGAGGGAUGCAGACACCUGUGGAAGACAAUUCACUUGAUUUAGCUUAGAGGCUUGUCCAGUGAGGAGCUUAACCACCCUCUACUGGUGCCUGGGUGUCUGCACAGACUGCAAAGGGAACUGGGAGUGACUAUGACUUAACUGGGAGUGACUGUGCUUAACUUCCAGAUGCAUAAGCUUUAGUAGGUGGGCUUACUCAAAAACACCUUUAAAGCACAGAUACUAUGUGUCCCCAGAUGCUACUUUACUUUUAUUAACUCUGCUUUUUCUACUGCAAACCCUGGGUAGGAUUUUUAACCUGCUCAGCAGAGUGCUUGCUCUUCAGGAAAUAAACCCAAAGGACAAGAGGACAUGAGCUCAAUGCAUGGACUCUCAGCUGGUUGGCUGAUUUGUGCAGAACAAGGGAACCUGCAUCUUCUAUGAGAUGUGUCAGAAGUUCAAAGUCUCCACAGAGGUCUCCUUGCUGCAGCUGCUGCAAAUAUUGUGAGGAAAUAAGAAAAGAGGGCCCUGACUUGGAGAGCUUUGUGCCAAAGGAGUCUGGCACUGACCAUCCUAUCAAUAACCUUGAUGCCCAGCCAUUAGGAAAUGGUAGUGACAAGGAUACACAGCAAUCAAGGACUCACACAGAGCCCACACAGCUGGUGCAGCUGCAGAGUGCUGUACCUGUUCCUGCACCCAUCAGCAGCUGGACACAGCACCUUGCAGCCUCAGUACCCCCACUUGGGAGCCACUGGACAUGUUCCCCUGCCUUUGCUUUACUUUAAAAGCAAGUAAAGCCUCAGUAGGAGCUUGGUUUUGUCCCAUGUCAACAAUCCUCAUCCAUCGCAGUUUUUGCAACACCUGACAAGUUAGCAAAGACAGUGGAUGAGAGGCAUUCGAAUCACAGAUUAUCCUGAGUUGGAAAGGACCCACAAAGAUCAUUGUGUCCAGCUCCUGGCCCUGCAUAGGACAACCUGAGGAGUCCCACCAUGUGCCUGAGGAUAUUGUCCAAAGGCUUCUUGAACAAGCUUGACAUUGUGACCAAGGGAGCCUGUUCCAGUGCCCAGCCACUCUCUGGGUGAAGAGCCUUCCUGAUAUCCAACCCAAACAUCCCCUGACACGGAUCUGUGUGCAGCCAUUAUUCUGUGGAGAAGAGGAGCAGCAGAAUAAGGCUCUGAAGGCUCACAUCCAUCAAGUGACAUGGAGCCACAUUGCACCAGCAAGAGUCAGAGCUGCAGAAGAACAGCUUCCCAGAAAAUACACGCCAUCCUGGAACUGGCUCCAGCAGGCAAAAGAAGUGGCAGGAAUGGAAGCAUUAACACAAGAACCUGCCCAAGUGAAUUCAGUUGCAAAAUUCUCAUUACUUCAAGGGACUAAGAUACCAUACAUUGCACUUGGGUAUGGGACCUUGUCUUCUUAAGUGAUCAGCAUUUGCUUUGAAUAGCCCAUUAUGGGAUAAAUUAAUCCUAAAAAUCUGCUGGCUCCCAUAUCUUGCUGUAACUGCUUGCUUAGAUCUUCCAGCUUUACAUUGAAGACGAUGGUAAAAAGCAGCUAAUAGGAAAGGAAGGAGGCUUUCUUUCUCUUCCCAGUUACAGUUCAGCUUAUUUCACUCCUUAUUUUCCAUCUCUAUUGAUGUCUAAGCACAUAUGGAAGUAGGGAACAUUUAGAAAACAGCAAAUUGGUCCUUGCUCCAACCACCUCUGCCUACACAGCAGCAGAGGUGAUAAUGUGUCCCAGGAUGGGAACUUAAUGGGCUUGUCUGGUGGAAUAUUACAUUUUGGAGACAGAGAAGUGAGAACAAGAGGUUUCAUGUGGUUAAUUGCUUAAGUAAUGUGAAAACUAUGUGAGUUUGAAAACAGCCUGAAUGAGAAAAUGUGCAGCCAAUGAAAGUAAAUUACUCACUUUGCUGCUCUCACAUCAUGGUGAAAAGCUGCCAGGUAUUUGGUGCUAGCAAAAGUAACAGUGUAUUAAACUUUGUUGCAGUGGUUAUUAUCACUAAAACCAGGUCUGUGUAACCCAACAUUUACUGUUGUAUUCUGAAUUCUUGCAAACAAAGUGUUUGGCUGACUGGAGAACAGAUUCAUAUUUAUCUUGUAUUUAUGUAUUUAUCAUAUAAUGCAGAUAUCUUUCUGGGAAAUGAAGGUUGAAAUAUCUCUAGACAUAAAUGACUGGGAAUUUUUCUUUCAGCUUCAGUGAAGAAAUCCAAAGACGUUAGGAGAUGAAGAAAAUUAGCAUAAUCAGCUCAUGUUGUUUAAUCCCCCUAGUCCAACCCAGGAAUGUUCUCUAUGUGCUACUGGUUAACACUAUUAUCCCAGCCAGGUUUAGAUGACCUGUAAUUCCCCACUCUGCUGCCUUUUGCCACUGUUAGAGAGCUCCCAAUGUGCAUCUUGGAUCUCACAGAAGGACAUACUGCACACAAUAUAUUUUAAAAGAGUAGUUAUAUUAAAUAUAAUGAGAAAGAGCACAAGGAAAUAUGGGAGCUACAAAAGAAAAUGCUUUCAAAUCUGAUUAUAUUAUAUGGUAUAAUACAUGUAUAUUUUUGAUUCCUUCCUUUAAAAGAGCUGUUAAGAUUUGAUAGUGACUGGAAUGACAAAUGCAACAAGAGAAGGAGGGCUUGUAGUAGGAGAUUUUUCAGAAAACAGAGAAAUCUAUUGAAAGCUGUGGAGUUUCCACUGGACAGCACAAGCAUUGAGGGCUCAGAACUGCCACAGACUGAAGCCACUCACUCCCCUUUGGCCUGUCACUGGAUGCCCUUUCAAGAAGUCCCUGUGCAUCUUUUCUGCAAUUCCCUUCAAGUACUGGAAAGCCACAAUCAGGCCACCCCAAAGCCUUCUUUUUUUCAUACUGAACAAAACCAACUCCCUCAAGGUUUCCACACAGGAGAGGUGCUCCAUCCCUUGGAUCAUCUUGGUUGCCUCCUCUGAACUCGCUCCAACAGGUCCCUGUCAUUCCUGUGUUGCUGACACCAGAGUUUCAUCAUGCAGAUAAGAAAUCAAAAUCAAUCCUUCACACAAACAAGUUAUUACAAUUUGGUUUGCAACAUGUUAACUAUAAGUAAAUCUCUUUCUGCUUUGUUAGCAUCUUUUAAGACAUGCUACCUAGGCCCAUGGCAUUUAGCUGUAGAGAAGGAGUAAAACUGAAACUUAAUAACUAAUCUUGAAUUUUUGUAGGGAAAUUCUCAAUAUAUUCAGAAAUCCCUAGAUCAAUAACUAUAUUUACAGGUUUUAUCUUAGUUUUUAAAAUGCUAUUUUGUUUUGCUUUUUUCUCUUCAGAAGAAGAUACAGAUAUAAACUACUCUCGGGUAAAGGCUACUGGUGUCUUUAAUAAUAUUAAAAAUAAUCACAUGAAUGUAAAUAAUUUCUGUUGAACUUUAAGCAGCAAUAUGUUUGCUCAUCUUUCAAUAUUUUGCCAUUACUGCAUUGGCAGUGCCCCAUAUGCAAGUCUGUCUACCCUGCACACAAGAGGUGCAGGAGAGCUGUGCAUCUUUGUGCCUGGGGGGGCCCUUUGCUGUCCCAGCAGUGCCCACACCAACAGGAUGGUGCAGGAUGCUGCAGCAGCUGGGCAGGGCUGGGGCACAGGCUGUUCUCUGCAGGAGGCACAGAGCUGCUGCACCAAGGCACAGCUGCAGCUCGAUCCACCAAAGCCCACACUAAUAAAACAUUGAUAUUUGGCUUUUGAAAAAUGCAGAUCAGUCUAUUUAAUGCAAGAAGAUCAACCUAGGAGAAGAAAAUCCAUAUUAGGUUCCUUUCAUGAGUCUUUGGGUUUUGUUUCAGUCCAAAAUACAGAUAUCCUUAGUGUCUGUAAUGAGAAACUUAGAACAAAAGGAAAGAUAGAUUGUACAGAGCUUUAUUCUUAUAGGAGGAAUGCAAUACGGUAUCAGAGAAUCCACUGCAAAAGCCUCCGGAAAGGAGAAAUUAAAUUUGGGAAUAGUUAAUGGAUUGCUACACACUUUGCAAACUAAAACAGAGUUUUAACAUGCUCAUUUGCACUGUUUUUCUUAGGAGACAACUGUUUUCAUUCUUACAAAAAUUACUGUCACUGAAUCAGGCUAAAUUUAGACAGGGUGUUUCAAGGCAAAGAUAUUGUGUGUAUUUAGUUUUUCAGGACCUUGUCAUUAGGAAAAAAAAAAAAAAAGCUAAUCCUCUUAAAAUCUUCCCUGCAUUUUUAUUCUUUUUAAUUAUCAAAAUGUGAUUUUUGCAAGACCAUGUGAUUUUUCACUAUCUGAUGUAAGCACUUGCAUUAAUCCAAUAAAGCCUUUGCCUCAAAGGAAUCAUAAGAGCAUUUAAACAAAUGGGGGAGUUUCAAGAAAUCUGAAGUUGUUUUGUUAAAAAGUGGGUUUAGAUUUGGUCAUAUUAGGUCAUACAUAGGCACAGCCCCUAGUAUGGUCUCAGCAGAAUGACAUAGAAAAUAGGCUGUUCCACCAUUCCAGAAGAUACCAAAAUUCCCUUAUGUCCAGUUUAUUCAAGGCAUGUGACUUAUACAGCUGAUAAUUUGCAUUUAUGCAGUUCCUCUUGUUCUAAAAAUGUCAGAUGAAAAAAUACUAAGUUUUUGAAAAAAAAACGCAUUAAUUUUUACCACUCCAAACCAUCAAAAAUACCUUAACAAUCAUUUUUACAUGACAGAGUAAAACCCAACCUUCUGCCAUAUACUGUAAAGAACAUCAAAGAAUUCCAGUGACUUGUUAUUGAAAUAGACUGAUCUGCAUCUGUCUGACUCAGCCUCAUACAUGAGGUGUGUAUUAAGUUAUUCUGCAAAUAUUUUUUAAUAUUGCAUUCUGAUUUAUUACGAAACAGCUCCCUAGGGUUGUUCUUUUGUGCUGGCGUGUCCUGGGUGUGGGUCUGACACCUGACACCAAGUCAGGGCAGGUACACCCAGUCCCAGUGACACUCUGGGAACAACCUUCAUGCAGAGCCAGGACUAUUCCCCCUUAACAAUUCAUCUAUACAGACAAAUAAAGCAGCUUUCUUCUUUAUUUGUACAUUAGUUAUGAAUGAGAAAUUGAAGAAUUCCUGAACCAAGGAAACUUUUUUUGAUGUAUUAAUAGAAAUGUACUGGGAAUAGUAUUUAACACCCAAAUAUACAAAGAUAUUGAGAUGCAUUUUACUCUAAAAAUUAUAUGCCAAAUUUUCCUGCACUUGUGUCUAUGACUGAAGGGAUUUCAGUAGAGGUUUGCUUGUGUAACCACGCUGAAUUUGGUUUAUUAUUCUAUAUUUGAAGCUAGGCAGUGCAAAUUGCAAAAUGAAAUAUAUCCAGUAGAUGUCAUCAUCCUGCAUCCCAUGUGCCUGAUAAUCCAGUUUAGAUUUACCUUUUUUUAACUGAACUGAAAUCAGAAGUAGAAGUCCUAACAGAAAUAAGUUUUCUGAAAAACUUGUGUAAAACAUACUCAUUUGAUGUGAUGCACCUUACUAACACUAGGAUUUCUGGAAUGUUUACAACCUGGAAGUGUUCAUGCACAAAGUAAAUUGGAGAUAUCCAUGACUGCACUCACAUGCUCAAAUAACAUCUGUAAAAUAUGCCAGUAAAUGCAUUUAUUUAAACCUGAAAAUCCAUUUAAUGGGUUCCAUUUAAUCCAAAUGUCCUGAAAGCAAUAUAAAUAUGUACUACAGCAUCAUUUCUGAUCCUGAAGCCUGUACUGCAAAAAUAGAUUUAAGAUCCUCUUUACAGAUGAGAAUAUUAAACGAAG